CACGUAGGGUGCGAGCGUUGUCCGGAAUUAUUGGGCGUAAAGAGCUCGUAGGCGGUUUGUCGCGUCUGCUGUGAAAACUCAGGGCUUAACCCUGAGCCUGCAGUGGGUACGGGCAGACUAGAGUGUGGUAGGGGAGAUCGGAAUUCCUGGUGUAGCGGUGGAAUGCGCAGAUAUCAGGAGGAACACCGGUGGCGAAGGCGGGUCUCUGGGCCGAUACUGACGCUGAGGAGCGAAAGCGUGGGGAGCGAACAGG
rnacentral:rRNA from 1 species